AUUGAAUAGAUUAGGAUAGGUGCACGAAUAUGUGCUUAAUAGGGAAGUACGGUUUAAAUCCGUCACGGUACCCGCCACUGUAUGGGGAGUUUAUUGCAGAUGUCACUGAAGGAAUUCGGGAAGACGCAAUGGAUGAUGAACCUAAGUCAGGAGACCUGCCUUUACCUAAUAACUUCA
rnacentral:ncRNA from 2 species